UUUUCAAAUUGAACCCAUGUGUCAAGUGC
rnacentral:piRNA from 1 species